rnacentral:lncRNA from 1 species
UGAAUCUUCCUCCUCUCUCAAAUCCUCUCUACAACACCCUCAAACCCUAGCCCCCGCCACCCUAAUCCAUGGCCUUACAGAUUAUUAGAGACCUGUAUCAGCCUCCCAUGACUUUUACUUGUUCGUUUCUGUGGUCUCAUGACCAGAUCAUGAAGGGGCUUUGUCUAGACUUUGCUUGAUUGUCUUUGAUCUUUCUCCGGCCAGCCAUGGCCAUUCCAGUAAGACCUUGGACUCUCUUACUUAGAUCAAUAGCUUUCAAGGCCUUUCUCGUCACUUGGGGUUCUUCUGAAACCCUAAUCUCUAAGGUUUUUUCAAUUUCUUUCAGAUAUGCUUCAUAUCUAUGUUUUCUUCGAACUUUUAAGAAUUUUCUCAAAGUUUUCUUUUAAAACCCUGCCUCCAAAACUCUUUAUAUUUUCUGAUUAGGG